rnacentral:rRNA from 1 species
AAUACUUGCAGUCGAGCGGACAGAAGGGAGCUUGCUCCCGGAUGUUAGCGGCGGACGGGUGAGUAACACGUGGGUAACCUGCCUGUAAGACUGGGAUAACUCCGGGAAACCGGAGCUAAUACCGGAUAGUUCCUUGAACCGCAUGGUUCAAGGAUGAAAGACGGUUUCGGCUGUCACUUACAGAUGGACCCGCGGCGCAUUAGCUAGUUGGUGGGGUAAUGGCUCACCAAGGCGACGAUGCGUAGCCGACCUGAGAGGGUGAUCGGCCACACUGGGACUGAAACACGGCCCAGACUCCUACGGGAGGCAGCAGUAGGGAAUCUUCCGCAAUGGACGAAAGUCUGACGGAGCAACGCCGCGUGAGUGAUGAAGGUUUUCGGAUCGUAAAGCUCUGUUGUUAGGGAAGAACAAGUGCGAGAGUAACUGCUCGCACCUUGACGGUACCUAACCAGAAAGCCACGGCUAACUACGUGCCAGCAGCCGCGGUAAUACGUAGGUGGCAAGCGUUGUCCGGAAUUAUUGGGCGUAAAGGGCUCGCAGGCGGUUUCUUAAGUCUGAUGUGAAAGCCCCCGGCUCAACCGGGGAGGGUCAUUGGAAACUGGGAAACUUGAGUGCAGAAGAGGAGAGUGGAAUUCCACGUGUAGCGGUGAAAUGCGUAGAGAUGUGGAGGAACACCAGUGGCGAAGGCGACUCUCUGGUCUGUAACUGACGCUGAGGAGCGAAAGCGUGGGGAGCGAACAGGAUUAGAUACCCUGGUAGUCCACGCCGUAAACGAUGAGUGCUAAGUGUUAGGGGGUUUCCGCCCCUUAGUGCUGCAGCUAACGCAUUAAGCACUCCGCCUGGGGAGUACGGUCGCAAGACUGAAACUCAAAGGAAUUGACGGGGGCCCGCACAAGCGGUGGAGCAUGUGGUUUAAUUCGAAGCAACGCGAAGAACCUUACCAGGUCUUGACAUCCUCUGACAACCCUAGAGAUAGGGCUUUCCCUUCGGGGACAGAGUGACAGGUGGUGCAUGGUUGUCGUCAGCUCGUGUCGUGAGAUGUUGGGUUAAGUCCCGCAACGAGCGCAACCCUUGAUCUUAGUUGCCAGCAUUUAGUUGGGCACUCUAAGGUGACUGCCGGUGACAAACCGGAGGAAGGUGGGGAUGACGUCAAAUCAUCAUGCCCCUUAUGACCUGGGCUACACACGUGCUACAAUGGACAGAACAAAGGGCUGCGAGACCGCAAGGUUUAGCCAAUCCCAUAAAUCUGUUCUCAGUUCGGAUCGCAGUCUGCAACUCGACUGCGUGAAGCUGGAAUCGCUAGUAAUCGCGGAUCAGCAUGCCGCGGUGAAUACGUUCCCGGGCCUUGUACACACCGCCCGUCACACCACGAGAGUUUGCAACACCCGAAGUCGGUGAGGUAACCUUUAUGGAGCCAGCCGCCGA